GACGGAGGAUGCAAGUGUUAUCCGGAAUCACUGGGCGUAAAGCGUCUGUAGGUGGUUUAAUAAGUCAACUGUUAAAUCUUGAGGCUCAACCUCAAAAUCGCAGUCGAAACUAUUAGGCUAGAGUAUAGUAGGGGUAAAGGGAAUUUCCAGUGGAGCGGUGAAAUGCGUAGAGAUUGGAAAGAACACCGAUGGCGAAGGCACUUUACCGGGCUAUUACUAACACUCAGAGACGAAAGCUAGGGUAGCAAAUGGG
rnacentral:rRNA from 1 species